rnacentral:lncRNA from 1 species
AAACUUGCGAAUCGAAUCGAAUCCAACAAAAUCAAACCAGUUCGGUUCCAUAAUUAAAUUUGGACCAUAUGGUUCCAUUUACUAAAUACGCGAAAAUUCAGUUUUAGAAUUGGACUAUGUCCAACCCUAAAAUUACUCGUCAAACAACUGUAACUAAACAUGAUUUCUAAUGGUUAAAUGAUUGAAAACCAUUCACCAAAAGAGUCAAAUACUACAAAUCGAACAUGAAAACUUCAAAGCUUACCAAAAAUCCGAAGAUGAAAUAUUUAUGCUGAAGCCAAUAUCAAGAGGCUGAUCAAUCACUGAGCUCCAAAUGCAAUCCACUGGUUCUUGAAAUGUACACAAAUAGUUCUCAUCAAUCUUGUAUUUAUCACCAAAAUUCUCAUCACACAAAUUUUCUACGCAAAAUUGUUCAAGAUUUUCUGUAAAAAUACUCGGAAUUUCAUAUAAACAUGUACCGAAUGGAUCUUGGAGUUCCAAAUAUUCAUCAUCUUUAAAGAUCACACCCUCUUUCAGCCAAGGAAAAUCGAAAACUCCCCCCUCUUUGCUGCAUUCAAAUUCUGCCUUCUUUUCUUUAAUGUUUUCUUGUUUUUCUUCUUCUCUUGUUCUUUUUCUGUUCUCCCUCUGCAUCUUUUCUCUUUCUCGAAAAACAGGAAAACCGAACAUCUUUAAAGGAUUACUACAUACAUAAAUAAAAUCAAACGGUAAGUACACACAUAUACAUAGAUACCUCAGGUUUUUGCUAGAGAAAAUGAUGAAAUAAAACCGUUUUUAUCCGCAGAUAAGAAACACACAGAAAUAUAGAAUGCAUGCCAUCCGUCACGCCUGUUACCAAGCAUAGUUCUCUC